UCUAAAGUCCUACCCUCGAGGAGCCUGCUCUCUGGUGCUGGCUACCAUCCACUCGUCUGUGGAGAUCUGUACGCUCUUUUCUCCUUCCAAGCAAAAUGGACAACAGAAUAUAUGAUGAGUCUGGCCCAGAGGGAAUUCUCUUCCCCACUGUCACUUGUCACCAGCCUUCAGAGGGGCCGCAAUCCUGUCGUCAGUGGUUCUGUCACUUCCCGUGAGGCCGUGUGCACACCAGGCUUCAAUUCUGGACUCCUGAGGUGUGGGGAGCGGUGGUAGCUAAGGAGACUCCAUUUUUAAUCUUACCCUCCAUUGUAUGGAGACUAUGUUAUGAGGAACCACAUCCUUACCUAAAUUGGAUGUUUACCUUCAGAGAUUGCCCUGGAAUGUGAUGAACGUUCUGUAGCCCCGAGAAACGGGAAGGCCCAUGAGGGUGGGGAAUUGCCAAGGGACUGGAAAGCAGGGAAGCAGGUGUCCCUGGAUAAGGGUCAUGAUGUAACAACCAAACUCACCUGUAACAACCAAAUUCACCUGUAACAAACUCACGGGUUGUAUAAAAGGGAAGAGAAAAAUAAACUCGUAGCUCGGUCUUGGGAGCCCUGACGACUCUGUCUUUUUUCUUUUGAAGUGUGUUUUUUCUUUCAUCCUCACCCCUCCUCUCAGAUGCACACGUUGAAAAUACCGUCCCCUCCCCCACACACAGUGAUGAUAUUAGGAGGUGAGAUCUGGGGGAGACGAGGAGGUUGGAGAGUACUUCCUCAGGAGUGGGACUGGUGUCUUAACAUAGAGACCCGCAGGGCGCUGGCUUGCCCUCCCGCCACAUGAGGACACGGUCAGACAGCGCCACCUAUAGACCGGGAGGUGGAGUUCACGAGACACCCAUCUGCCGGCACUUUGAUCUUGCAUUUCUGACCUCCAGAAUCUGAGGAAUGAAUUUCUGUCAUUUCCGAGCUCCUGGUCUGUGGAGUUCGGUUCUAAGACACCCACCUGUGCCUGAAGCUCACAGGGUGACCACUCGAGACAGUGGGCGAAGCCUGGGCACACGGGCAGCACGUGGGCCAGGGACCCGCAGUGAGGGUCCGCACAUGAAAAGCGGGACAAGCAGCAGGUGAGGUCCAUCGGCCAAAGUGGCUUCUCCCCCGGUGCACUGGCCUCACCGCAGUGUUUCUCUGCAGAUCCGGUCUCCUGCCCACCCCCUGUGACUGAGCUUCAUACACCCAGGACUUCACCUCUCCUCCUGGGCCCACCUGUGACCUGCGUGCCGCCCCCUCCCGGCUCUGUGAUCUCCUCUGGGGCUCUGACCCUCUUGUCCGUGCCUCUGUUUGUGGUUCCAUUCUUUGCUUUGAUGUCUCUUCCCCUAUAACCUGCAUAGACCUGCAGGCCAGAUGGCCAGGAAAGGAGCGUUCCAUCCUGACCAAGGGCCCUGGAGACAGAACACAGUCAUCUCCCACAAGCUGUAGUUUCCCGUGUGUCAAGGUCUGAACUUAUCUGGAAUUGGAGGCGGCAGGUCCACCCACGUCCUCCAUCUGAUCCCUCGGUGGCCAGCAGAGCUUUCACUGUGCCGAAUCUGCGGAAGGGGAAAACAAGGCCGAGAGAGACUUCAUUAGGUCCGGCGUUUGUCUUUGGAGGAAGUAUGCAGGCCCAGUCAUCUUUAUCUCCAUCUUUAUCUUGAGGCCUGGUCUCCAGCAGAUGCGUCUCCAGCUGCAGCUGUGAUGUCUUCCACCUUUCCCCUGACUCUCAGGCCCAGCCCUGUCUGACUGCCUGUAAUAUUUCUACCUAACUCAGCUGUCUGUAAUGAAAGGAGCCAAGGAUAAGAGCUCAGGGCUUAGCUCUGAAGCCCCCUGCCACCUCACAGUAGCUGUUUAUCCUCUUUCCUUUCCAUCCUUUUCCCCAAAAAAACUGUCUUUUAACUAGGACUGGAAGUCCCAUUUGACCCCACUAUUCCCCUGCUGGGGAUCUUCCCCAAAGAAUUAAAAGAUUCAUACCACAGUGCUACAUGUGCACCCAUGUUCAUAGCAGCACA